GGAGCAUUGCUUUUUUGAAGUUAGCGGCGGACNGGUGAGUNACACGUGGGUAACCUACCUAUAAGACUGGGAUAACUUCGGGAAACCGGAGCUAAUACCGGAUAACAUUUAGAACCGCAUGGUUCUAAAGUGAAAGAUGGUUUUGCUAUCACUUAUAGAUGGACCCGCGCCGUAUUAGCUAGUUGGUAAGGUAACGGCUUACCAAGGCGACGAUACGUAGCCGACCUGAGAGGGUGAUCGGCCACACUGGAACUGAGACACGGUCCAGACUCCUACGGGAGGCAGCAGUAGGGAAUCUUCCGCAAUGGGCGAAAGCCUGACGGAGCAACGCCGCGUGAGUGAUGAAGGGUUUCGGCUCGUAAAACUCUGUUAUUAGGGAAGAACAAAUGUGUAAGUAACUGUGCACAUCUUGACGGUACCUAAUCAGAAAAGCCACGGCUAACUACGUGCCAGCAGCCGCGGUAAUACGUAGGUGGCAAGGCGUUAUCCGGAAUUUUGGGNCGUAAAGCGCGCGUAGGCCGGUUUCUUAAGUCUGAUGUGAAAGCCCACNGCUUAACCCUGGGAGGGUCAUUGGGAAANUGGGAAACUUGAUUGCAAAAAAGGAAAA
rnacentral:rRNA from 1 species